UCGCCCAGGGGCAUAAGCCUCCCGGUGGAUGGCUCGGCUCGGGCGCCGACGAAGGGCGCGGCAAGCGGCGAUAUGCCCGGGGUAGGGGCAAGCACCCGUUGAUCCCGGGAUCCCCGAAUGGGAAUUCCUGGCGGAGCUUAACAGGCUCCGCCGCCCCGUAAGGGGCGGGAACCCCCCGAACGGAAACAUCUUAGUAGGGGGAGGAAAAGAAAUCAAACGAGAUCCCCCGAGUAGGGGCGACCGAAAGGGGGACAGCCCAAACCAAAUCCCGGGGCCGUAAGGUCUCGGGAGAUGUGGUGUUUUGCCCUGGUGGUGGGCGGAGCCCGGGCUACCCGGGGGCCUAGCCGAACUCCCCUGGAAUGGGGGGCCAUAGAGGGUGACAGCCCCGUAGGCUAAAGGCUACCCGGGGGCCUGAGCCAGGGCAGAGUACCAUCCCCUGGUUUGGGGGUGGGAAGAUGGGGGACACGUGCCUCCAAGGCUAAAUACGUCCCGAGACCGAUAGCGAACUAAGUACCGUGAGGGAAAGCUGAAAAGCACCCCUAACGGGGGGUGAAAAGAGCCUGAAACCGGGAGGUCACACAGCGCAGGGCUCGAAAGGGAUGAGUCCUCCCGAAGGAAAGGGGCGCGAGCCUCGAGUACGAGGGAGGAGGACCGGGGUCCUGCGUUUCGUCUUGAAACACGGGCCGGGGAGUUCCUGCCAGUGGCGAGCCUAAGGGGGUCAACCCCGAAGGCAUAGGGAAACCGAGCGCCCGCAGCCGGGGAAACCCGGCGAGGGGCGGGGUCCGCAAGGGCCUGGAGUCACUGGCAGGAGGCUAGAAACCGGGCGAUCUAGUCCGGGGCAGGCCGAAGGCGGGGGAAACCCCGCUGGAGGGCCGAAUAGGGGUUCUGACGUGCAAUUCGUUCCCUUGACCCCGGACUAGGGGCAAAAGACCAAUCUAGCCCGGUGAUAGCUAGUUCCCCCCGAAAUGCGUCUUAGCGCAGCCCUCCCGGAGGUAUCCGGCAGGGUAGAGUUACAGAUUGGAGGCCUCGAGGGAAACCUCGGGGUCUCCAGUCUAACUCCGAACCUGCCGGAGCCGAAGAAGGGAGGAGUGGGUCGCCCGGCGUAAGGUUGGGCGGCGAGAGGGGAACAACCCAGACCCGGGUUAAGGCCCCUAAGUCCCGGUUAAGUGCCAAUCAAAGGGCGUCCCCAGCCUUAGACAGCGGGGAGGUGGGCCCAGCAGCAGCCAUCCUCUAAGGAGUGCGUAACAGCUCACCCGCCGAGGCUGGGGGCCCCGAAGAUUGGUCGGGGCUCAAACCGGGCGCCGAUACCCGGGUGGUGGGCCUCUUUGAGGCUCACCAGGUAGGGGGGCGCUGCGGCGGGGCAGAAGGCGGGCCGUGAGGUCCGCUGGACCCGUCGCAGGUGCAGAUCCCGGCGGCAGUAACAGCGAGGGGAGGUGAGAAUCCUCCCCGCCGGAAGGGCAAGGGUUUCCCGGCAAUGGUCGUCAGCCGGGAGUGAGCCGGUCCUAAGGCGGGGCCUAACUGGUACCCGCCGAAAGGGAAAGGGGUUAAUAUUCCCCUGCCCCGGGGGUAGGUGCGGCAACGCAAGGCCUGCCUCCGACGGAUCGGGGUAGGGGGAGCGGGCCACCGCCCGCCCAAGCCCUGAAGCCCCUGGAGAACCGUAACGGUGAGAAGGGGGCGAAGGGGUGACGGGCCCUCCGUUAGGAGGGUUCCCCUGAUCCCUGGUCCCCAUGAAAAGGGGGCAGGCAGCGAUCCCCCGGGACCGUACCGAGAACCGACACAGGUGCCCCUGGGUGAGAAGCCCAAGGCGUCUGGGGGGUAACCCAGGCUAGGGAACUCGGCAAAUUAGCCCCGUAACUUCGGGAGAAGGGGUGCCUACCACGGUGGUGAACCCGCCGUGGUAGGUCGCAGUGACCAGGGGGACCUGACUGUUUAAUAAAAACAUAGGUCCCCGCUAGCCCGAAAGGGUGUGUACGGGGGCUAAAUCCUGGCCACUGGCGGUAGGUGAAACCCGGGUUCAACCGGGCGAAGCCCCGCUGAAGGCCGGGGGUAACUCUGACCCUCUCAAGGUAGCCAAAUGCCUUGCCGGGUAAGUUCCGGCGCGCAUGAAUGGAUCAACGAGGUCCCCACUGUCCCAGCCCGGGGCCCCGUGAACGCCCUGAGCCGGUGCACAGUCCGGCAACCCCCGACCCCGAGAGAAGACCCCGUGGAGCUUCACCGCAGCCUGGCGUUGGCUCCCGGGGGUUCAUGCGUAGCGUAGGUGGGAGGGGUCGAAGCCGCUCCUCCGGGGGCGGUGGACCCGAAAGUGAAACACCACCCAUGGACCCUCGGGAGCCUUACCCCGCAAGGGGGACAGCGUCAGGUGGGCGGUUCGGCUGGGGCGGCACUCCCGCGAAAAGGUAACACGGGAGCCCAAAGGUCGGCUCAGGCGGUACAGAACGCCGCCGUAGAGUGCAAGGGCAAAAGCCGGCCUGACGAGGCCCUUCAAAGCACGGGGCCUCGACGCGAAAGCGCGGCCUAGCGAACGCUCGUGCCCCCACACGUGGGGGCCGGGCAUGACAGAAAAGUUACCCCGGGGAUAACAGGGUCGUCGCGGGUGAGAGCUCACAUCGACCCCGCGGUUUGCUACAUCGAUGUCGGCUCUUCCCACCCUGGGGGUGCAGCUGCCCCCAAGGGUAGGGCUGCCCGCCCGUUAAAGGGGAGCGUGAGCUGGGUUUAGACCGUCGCGAGACAGGUCGGACUCUAAGGGUCGGGGGUGCUGGGGGCCUGAGGGGAAGGUACCCCUAGUACGAGAGGAACAGGGUACCGGGGCCUCUGGUUUACCGGUUGUCCUGCCGGGCAGCGCCGGGCAGCUACGCCCUGAGGGGUAACCGCUGAAAGCAUCUAAGCGGGAACCCCUCCCCGAAAAGAGGCCCCCGUGGGGGGUUAACCCCCGAGACCCCUCCCCUAGAACAGGGGGUUGAUGGGGCGGGGGUGCAAGCCCCGAGGGCGAAAGCCCGAGGGGUUCAGCCCGCCGCUCCCAAUCGGGGGAGCCCCUAAGGGA
rnacentral:rRNA from 1 species